rnacentral:tRNA from 1 species
GCCCGGGUGGCGAAAUCGGCAGACGCACAGGACUUAAAAUCCUGAGGUGUGUAAGCACCGUGUGGGUUCAAGUCCCACCCCGGGCA